rnacentral:rRNA from 1 species
UAAGUAGAUAGUGAAAUCUGGGGGCUCAACCUCACAGGCUAUUAUUCGAACUCACUGACUCGAGAACAGCAGAGGUAACUGGAAUUUCUGAAGUAGGGGUAAUAUCCGUAGAUAUCAGAAGGAACACCAAUGGCGUAGGCAGGUUACUGGGCUGUUUCUGACACUGAGGCACGAAAGCGUGGGGAGCGAACCGGAUUAGAUACCCGGGUAGUCCACGCCGUAAACGAUGGAUACUA